CGCAGAUCCUCCCAUCGCUUUCUCAGCCCGGCUGUGCUCUCGGGGGACGACUCCCCUCGGUCCUUUGUACCUUGUCCGCGGGUGUGUGUGUGUGUGUGUGUGUGUGUGUGUGUGUGUGUGGCGGAGACCCGAGCUCACAACCCAACCCACUCGACUCUUCACGCAAGAGCAGAACCCCACUGGCGUUCGCCAUAACAGCCACAGAGGCCUUACCUUGUGCUAGACGACCGCUCCUAUCUAGCCACCUUUCUUGUCAAAGGAAUGUCCCCACUCUGCCAUAGCCCCGCUAUUGUCUACCAGAGGAGGGCUUUGAGGAGAACCGAGCCUGACAGAUUUUCCAGCUGUGCGUUGCAGGUUUCACUUAAUAAACCACAAACGAGUGGUCGCGCUGAGGUUUUAGCCUGCGCAAGAAGAUGGUGUUUUCACGACCAACCUGCAUUUGUAACCCGUUAGGAAAGAAAUAUGCUAGGAAAAAAAUGGACGUUAACCUGCUGCGAGCAUGGAGACUUUUGGCUUCACGAAGAAAAAAAAUUUUUUUUUUAAAUAGUCCGCCAUACUUAAACAUUUGGCUUUAUUUUCAAGUUUGGACUGAAUCAUCUAAAUACUUGGACGUCUUUUAGUGCCCUUAACCAUAAAUUCACACGAUGGAAGUAAGAGUUUGAAGGUAAAAAGAUUUGGUCAUCCAGGACAGUCAG
rnacentral:lncRNA from 1 species